UGACUUCAUCAGAGACCCGUGAGCAUCUUAUGAAGCACAUGCACCGUUCAUCUGAAGCAGUGAAUAUAAAGCUGGAUUCACUGAAGGGUCACAAAUCCAGAUUAAACCAACUCUCUUCUGAAGAGAUGUUAACUGAUGGACUGGAGUGCUGUGGAUUACUUGUGGAUUAUUGUGAUGUUUUUAUCAGCUGUUUGGACUCUCAUUCUGACGGCACCCAUUCACUGCAGAGCAUCCAUUGCUGAGACACUGAUGCAGUGCUGCAUUUCUACAAACCUGAUGAAGAAACAAACUCAUCCCAAUCUUUGAUGACCUGUGGAUGAGCUAAUUUUCAGCACAUUCAUUUUUCAUUAUUCCUUAAACUUCUGCGACAGCAAACUAAUAACAUGUAUUCCUUGCAUGCAAUAUAAGUCACUUUAGAUAAAAGCUAAUUCUUCUAAAUGCACACGUUUACACAUUUUUGGUCCCUAUAGUGUCUGCACCUGAAUGACCUCCACACACACACACACACACACACACACCUUCUGAGACUCAUAUCAUAUAAAGCCCUUCAUUUCUCAGCUCUGCUUCAUGGCACACGCCUCUGAAAUAUGACAUGUUUAAUCCUGGCAGUGUGGUGUUGAAUAUCUGUGAUAUGAGCUGAGCUUCUGUGAGCACAGAGAAGCCCUUCAGACUCCAGCAGAUACGAUCAGUGUCCUGUCAACAGCUGCCCAAUACUGGACACACUCUCAGAACACAGCACGGUCGAAUUCAGCUCCGUAUACGAGGAAAAACUGCGUUCAGUUCACCUGACCGACUGUGCUUUGGCUAAUCAGUGCUGAUGGUGAAGUUAUAAACGUCAAGUAUUAAACAGCAGUGUGUAAGUGAGGAGAAAGUGUGCUGUUACUAAAUGAUCAGACUUAAUUAUUUAAUGGUGUUUCAGAACACCAUAGCAACUGCAUAGCAACACCAUGGCAACCACCCGAAACACAAUCAAACACAACUUACCCGUUCUUCAGAAAAAUAUAUAUUUAGUUUAAAAUGUGAAAUUAAUUUUCUGAAUCUUUUGAAAUAUUCCUUAUGUGACAUUCAGAAUUAAGUUGCUGCUUCUGGGAAAAUGUUACCAAUUCUAUUGAAUAUUAUAUUUUUAUGUUGUUGUUGUUGUUGUUGUUGUAAAAGAAAAUACUUUUUUUUUAAUAUAAUUGUAUAAUUUUAUAAAUUUUAUCUCAUUAUUUCAUAUAAUUUUUUAAUUAAAUGCAUUCAUAUAUUUUAUAUAAUUAUUUAAAUUAUA
rnacentral:lncRNA from 12 species